AAAACGAUCAUCGAAAAAAAAAAGAGAAAACGAAAUGUACUCGAUGGUUCAAAAGAAACACUCACCGAAGGAAGACCACUCGGUUGAAAAGAAAGAAAAAAAAUAUCAAAGAAAAAAAAACGAGCGAUUGAAAAAAGAAAAGAAGGAAAAUGAACAAACAAAGUGAAAAGGAUAUUGACAUUGGCUCUGAACCCAAAACCACUUGUUUUCCUUUUUG
rnacentral:lncRNA from 1 species